rnacentral:rRNA from 1 species
GAUGAACGCUGGCGGCGUGCCUAAUACAUGCAAGUCGAGCGAACAGACGAGGAGCUUGCUCCUCUGACGUUAGCGGCGGACGGGUUAGUAACUCGUGGAUAACCUCCCUAUAAGACUGGGAUAACUUCGGGAAACCGGAGCUAAUACCGGAUAAUAUAUUGAACCGCAUGGUCCAAUAUUGAAAGCCGGUUUUGCUGUCACUUAUAGAUGGAUCCGCGCCGCAUUAGCUAGUUGGUAAGGUAACGGCUUACCAAGGCAACGAUGCGUAGCCGACCUGAGAGGGUGAUCGGACACACUGGAACUGAGAGACGGUCCAGAAUCCUACGGGAGGCAGCAGUAGGGAAUCUUCAGGAAAGGGCGAAAGCGUGACGGAGCAACGACGCGUGAGUGAUGAAGGUAUUCGGAUCGUAAAACUCUGUUAUGAGGGAAGAACAAAUGUGUAAGUAACUAUGCACGUCUUGAAGGUAACUAAUCAGAAAGCCACGGCUAACUACGUG